GUGCCUAUAGCCUAGAGGCUAAGGUGCUUGACUGGGGAUCAAAAGUUUGGCGGGUCAAACCCAAGUGUAGUCACA